GCUAGGAUGAACGCUAGCUACUAGGCUUAACACAUGCAAGUCGCGGGGCGAGCAUGUUGGUUGCUUGCAACCAAUGAUGGCGACCGGCGCACGGGUGAGUAACGCGUAUCCAACCUGGCCCAUAGUAGGGGAUAGCCCGGCGAAAGUCGGAUUAAUACCCUAUGUUCUUCUUUGAGGACAUCUGAAAUGAAGCAAAGGUUCACCGCUAUGGGAUGGGGAUGCGUCUGAUUAGCUUGCCGGCGGGGUAACGGCCCACCGGGGCAACGAUCAGUAGGGGUUCUGAGAGGAAGGUCCCCCACACUGGUACUGAGACACGGACCAGACUCCUACGGGAGGCAGCAGUGAGGAAUAUUGGUCAAUGGGCGAGAGCCUGAACCAGCCAAGUAGCGUGCAAGGAUGACUGCCCUAUGGGUUGUAAACUGCUUUUAUAGGGGAAUAAAGUGAGGUAUGCAUACCUUUUUGUAUGUACCCUAUGAAUAAGGACCGGCUAAUUCCGUGCCAGCCGCAGC
rnacentral:rRNA from 1 species